AGCAGCCGCGGUAAUUCCAGCUCCAAUAGCGUAUAUUAAAGUUGUUGCAGUUAAAAAGCUCGUAGUUGAAUUUCGGGGUUAGUAAGUUGGUCGUGCCACUGGUAUGUACUGGCUUUACUGAUUCCUCCUUCUUGUAGAACCGUAAUGCCAUUAAGUUGGUGUUGCGGGGAAACAGGACUGUUACUUUGAAAAAAUUAGAGUGUUUAAAGCAAGCUAACGCUUGAAUACAUUAGCAUGGAAUAAUGAAAUAGGACGUUCGAUCCUAUUUUGUUGGUUUCUAGGAUUGACGUAAUGAUUAAUAGGGAUAGUUGGGGGCAUUAGUAUUCAAUUGUCAGAGGUGAAAUUCUUGGAUUUAUUGAAGACUAACUACUGCGAAAGCAUUUUGCCAAGGAUGUUUUCAUUAAUCAAGAACGAAAGUUAGGGGAUCGAAGACGAUCAGAUACCGUCGUAGUCUUAACCAUAAACUAUGCCGACUAGGGAUCGGAUGAUGUUAAUUUUAUAAUGACUCAUUCGGCGCCUU
rnacentral:rRNA from 1 species